AGCAUAUCAAUAAGCGGAGGAAAAGAAACCAACAGGGAUUGCCUUAGUAACGGCGAGUGAAGCGGCAACAGCUCAAAUUUGAAAGCUGGCCCUUUCAGGGUCCGCAUUGUAAUUUGUAGAGGAUGAUUCGGCGAGGGCUCCCGCCUAAGUCCCCUGGAACGGGGCGUCAUAGAGGGUGAGAAUCCCGUAUGCGGUGGGCUGCCUUAGCCAUGUGAAUCUCCUUCGACGAGUCGAGUUGUUUGGGAAUGCAGCUCUAAAUGGGAGGUAAAUUUCUUCUAAAGCUAAAUACCGGCCAGAGACCGAUAGCGCACAAGUAGAGUGAUCGAAAGAUGAAAAGCACUUUGGAAAGAGAGUUAAAAAGUACGUGAAAUUGUUGAAAGGGAAGCGCUUGCAACCAGACUUGUCCGCAGUUGCUCAGCCGGUCUCCUGACCGGCGUACUCUUCUGCGGCCAGGCCAGCAUCAGUUCGGGCGGUCGGAUAAAGACCUCGGGAAUGUAGCUCCUCUCGGGGAGUGUUAUAGCCCGGGGUGGAAUGCGGCCAGCCUGGACUGAGGAUCUCGCUUCGGCAAGGAUGCUGGCGUAAUGGUUGUAAGCGGCCCGUCUUGAAACACGGACCAAGGAGUCUAACAUCUAUGCGAGUGUUUGGGUGUCAAACCCAUACGCGUAAUGAAAGUGAACGGAGGUGGGAACCCGCAAGGGUGCACCAUCGGCCGAUCCUGAUGUCUUCGGAUGGAUUUGAGCAAGAGCAUAGCUGUUGGGACCCGAAAGAUGGUGAACUAUGCCUGAAUAGGGUGAAGCCAGAGGAAACUCUGGUGGAGGCUCGCAGCGGUUCUGACGUGCAAAUCGAUCGUCAAAUUUGGGUAUAGGGGCGAAAGACUAAUCGAACC
rnacentral:rRNA from 1 species